UGGGGAAUAUUGGACAAUGGGGGGAACCCUGAUCCAGCCAUGCCGCGUGUGUGAAGAAGGCCUUCUGGUUGUAAAGCACUUUAAGCGAGGAGGAGGCUCUCUUGGUUAAUACCCAAGAAGAGUGGACGUUACUCGCAGAAUAAGCACCGGCUAACUCUGUGCCAGCAGCCGCGGUAAUACAGAGGGUGCGAGCGUUAAUCGGAUUUACUGGGCGUAAAGCGUGCGUAGGCGGCUUUUUAAGUCGGAUGUGAAAUCCCCGAGCUUAACUUGGGAAUUGCAUUCGAUACUGAGAAGCUAGAGUAUGGGAGAGGAUGGUAGAAUACCAGGUGUAGCGGUGAAAUGCGUAGAGAUCGGGAGGAAUACCGAUGGCGAGGGCAGACAUCUGGCCUAAUACUGACGCGGAUGUACGAAAGCAUGGGGAGCAAACAGG
rnacentral:rRNA from 1 species